rnacentral:rRNA from 1 species
GACGAACCAUGCAAACGUUAUUCGGAUUCACUGGGCUUAAAGCGUGCGUAGGCGGUCUUGUUAGUCAGGUGUGAAAGCCCUCAGCUCAACUGAGGAAUUGCGCUUGAUACUGCAUGACUAGAGAAUGAUAGAGGUGGGUGGAACUGAUGGUGGAGCGGUGAAAUGCGUUGAUAUCAUCAGGAACACCAGUGGCGAAGGCGACCCACUGGGUCAUUUCUGACGCUGAGGUACGAAAGCUAGGGUAGCGAACGGG